rnacentral:rRNA from 1 species
GACGAACCGUGCGAACGUUGUUCGGAAUCACUGGGCUUAAAGGGCGCGUAGGCGGGCAGGCAAGUCUGGGGUGAAAUCUUUCGGCUUAACCGGAAAAGUGCCUCGGAUACUGCUUGUCUUGAGGGAGGUAGGGGCAGAUGGAACUUCCGGUGGAGCGGUGAAAUGCGUUGAUAUCGGAAGGAACGCCGGUGGCGAAAGCGAUCUGCUGGACCUCUUCUAACGCUGAGGCGCGAAAGCUAGGGGAGCAAACGGG